rnacentral:rRNA from 1 species
CCUACGGGUGGCAGCAGUGAGGAAUAUUGGUCAAUGGGCGUACGCCUGAACCAGCCAAGUCGCGUGAGGGAAGACUGCCCUAUGGGUUGUAAACCUCUUUUGUCAGGGAGCAACGCCGGCUACGUGUAGCCUGACUGAUAGUACCUGCAGACAAAGCAUCGGCUAACUCCGUGCCAGCGCCCGGGGUAAUACGGAGGAUGCGAGCGUUCUCCGAAUUGAUUGGGUUUAGGGGGUGCGUAGGCGGAAUGCCAAGUCAGCGGGAAAAUCGCGGGGCUCAACCUGGCUCGGCAGUUGAAACUGGCGUGAUUGAGUGGGCGAGAGGUGGGCGGAAUGCGUGGUGUAGCGGUGAAAUGCAUAGAGAUCACGCAGAACUCCGAUGGCGAAGGCAGCAUACUGGAGCACGACUGACGCUGAAGCACGAAAGCGUGGGUAUCGAACAGGAUUAGAUACCCUGGUAGUC